AUAAAAUGUGAUAAACCCAAUACCUAACACUCGACCUGUAAAGCGUGAUGAGCGCUGCAACCCCAGAGUCUUUCGUGACUGGACUUAACUGUCAGGGGUCCUUUACUGUUACCUUUUUACCUUCAUCACAUGAUCAAAGGUUUACUCUCAGCACAGAGAAGAAAAACUAACCAACAGGUAAUCUAUAUUUAUUUAUUUAUUUAUUUAUUUAUUUAUUUAUUUAUUUAUUUCCCGCCCAUCUGGCUGGGUUUCCCCAGCCACUCUGGGUGGCUUCCAACAAAAUAUUAAAAAAACAAUAAAACACCAGACACUAAAACUUCCCUAAACAGGGCUGCCUUCAGGUGUCUUCUAAAAGGCAGUUGUUUAUUUCCUUGACAUCUGAUGGGAGGAUUAUUUUCACAUUUUCUACCUUCCUUCAACUAGUUCAACUUUGGAGAUUCGCAAGUGCUAUACAAGUUUUAUUACUUUAGGGAAGAAUGGCUGUCAGACUACUUAAAGAAAUAUUUUCUUUGGCGAUCACUCGUAGCCGAGUAAGAUUGUCUUCCAUAAAUGCUAGUUAUAGCUCAGUGAGAUCUUCUUGCUUUCAAUAUAGCCUCAUGGAAAAUCCCCAUGAGGAUUCACCAAUACACAUUUAGACAUUCUCAUUUCACUUCAAUUAAACCAUUAUACUUAACAAAGGUGAGACAGCAGCCUAACUAGGACCUACUGCCACUGUCUCAUGGAGUGGCCAGCAUACCUUAUUUUGACUAUUUCCCUUUUCCCUUCCUGUCAUUUCUGCCCUUUUCAUAUUGCCUAAUUAAAUGGCUAUGUAAGUUUAGUCGUUCUUUUAAAGCGUGAAGUGCGUUGGUAGAAAGGCGCAGGAAAUAAAUAAGGGCUGGAACUACUGGAUUCACGAGAAGCCUCUGAAUAUAAAUGCCUUGCAUUUGGGAAGUUAAUUAACAGAGUUGUGGGAAAUUACUGCUAGAAACCCAGAAGGAUAUAGAUGCAGCUAGCUUUAAUUUGUGUGAUAAUAUUAAAACAUAAGUUAGAUCUAAUGAAACUGUUGCAGUUGGGAAACAUAUCCAUUGUUUGCCGUGGUAUCAUACAACUCACAUUUCCUCAGUGCAAGGAGAUAGACUAGAGCAGCGGUCAGCAAGCUUUUUCAGCAGGGGGCCGGUCCACUGUCCCUCAGACCUUGUGGGGGGCUGGACUAUUUUUUAUCGGGGGGGGGGGAGAACAAAUUCCUAUGCCCCACAAAUAACCCAGAGAGCAUUGUUGGCUGCCCACUCUCUACCUUAGAGCAGAUUUAUGCCACAAGGUGCCAUAGGAAGGCACUGGACAUAGUAAAAGAUCCAUCGCAUCCUGGUCACUGUCUCUUCGAGCUCUUGCCGUCGGGACGGAGAUACAGGACGAUGAAGACAAGAACGAGCCGUCUUAAGAACAGCUUCUUCUCCAGAGCGAUCUCGGCCCUGAAUGGGAAGCCCGGACUUUGAAAGUCAUCUAAUCUCCCUUGCUGUAUUAUACUGUAUUGAUUAAUUAGUGUUUUUAUGGAGCAGUCAAGUAAUUUCGUUGUCCCCGAAGGGGGCAAUGACAAUAAAGAUAUUAUUAUUAUUAUUAUUAUUAUUAUUAUUAUUAUUAAAUAAAAGCACACAUUCUACUCAUGUAAAAACACCAGGCAGGCCCCACAAAUAACCCAGAGAUGCAUUUUAAAUAAAAGGACACAUUCUACUCAUGUAAAAACACGCUGAUUCCUGGACCGUCCGCGGGCCGGGUUUAGAAGGCGAUUGGGCCGGAUCCAGCCCAUGGACUAGAGCCUUCAAGCUGUUGUUAUAUUUUUAAAAAACUGCUCCUUUUCCCUUAUGGGAUAUUCCACAGCCCAUAUGGAGUCCUUAAGUGGUAGGAGAAAUAAAUAUUGGUUGGGGAAAUAACAGCCAGGAUUAAUUGAAAAGCAAAGCAUCUAGUAAGCCUGAUCUUUAUUCAAGGAACUGUUGCAACAGGGUCCCCACUAACCACACGCAGGAGGGAGUGAACAAUGGUGCUCACCCUGUAGCCCAAGACCACUACCCCCUUAAACAUUAUACAUACAUCACAGAAGGAGGUGGUCUACAACAAAAGGCGGUCUACAGCAGAAAUCAGGAUACCUGAUAAUGGUCACUGAUUGCAUUACCCAGGCAGCCUGGCUAUUCUUUUGCGAUAGUUAAUAUUUUAGUUCCUGAAUCCAGGUCCCAGGUCCACCCUAUUCAUAUACAAAUACACCCUUAAGGCAGGAUUUGUAUUGUUUAAGAAAGCCAGGGAGUGGGAGGAGGGGGAGUCAAUGCUCAGUAUGAGGAAAGUUGUAUGUGAUGCUAUGAUUUGAUAUGAAUGUGACAAAGGAAAAACAUGAAAAUUUAAUAAAAAUUAUAUUUAAAAAUUUAAUUUAAAAAAGACAGGAUUUGUAAGUGAAAAGACAUUUGCCUCCCCUACUGCAGAGGAAUAUUUGGGAGAGUCAAAAUGGCUUCAGGAUUGCUCUCCCGUACUAUUUCAGACACAUGGUCCAUAUAUUUAGAUAUGUGUGCAUUUAUGAAUAUUUAUUCUAUAUUUGAGACCUUAAAAUUCUUAUAACACUGUAAACCCCUGAAUUUUUGACUCCCCUAACUUCAGUUCCCAGGGAAAGCGCAGGCUGAGCUCUCCUCUUCUCAUCUGCAACAAUGUAGGAGAAAUCAGCCUUGUGCACAGAUACGAAUAUGCUCUGCCGAUGCGCAACUCUGACUCCACAUCACUGGCUAGAGGUAGAGAAGUAUGCCAAGCCAUGGGGUGCUGCAGUGCACAUUAUGGAGAGGAGAAACUCAAUGCUCUGCUGCCCUCAGAUCUGGCAAGGUAUCAGACUGAAGCUCUCCAGGUAUGUGAGAAUCCUGGCUUACUUCCAGCCAGGCAGAGUUUGAAUUGCAGCUGUAGAUAAAGGCGCUUGGAACUGACUGUCUCAGAGGAGCUAUCACCAGAGUGAGGCCUUUGGAAAGUGAGGCCUUUGGAGAGCAUUCCAGCAGAAAGCGAUGUGAGUCACACAGCUACCCUUCAACAUUUCUCUGAUGGAAAUAGGAAUGUCCCAUUCCAUAAUGAAUUUUUUUACUAUUUAUACCCCACACAUCUGACUGGGUUGCCCCAGCCACUCUGGACAGCUUCUAACAUAAUAAAUCGUGUCCUCCCUAAAAGAGGGCACAUGUUGCGGUGAGACCUGGAGUCUGGUUGUGGGUGGGUUUGAUUGGUUAGCCACUACACUCGAUUGGUAGGUUCCUUGAUGUUGGGUCCAACACUAUAAAUCAGGGGAAUCUGUAGCCUGCCAGAUAUUGUUUGACAUCUGUUCCCACCAGCCUGAUCCAUGAUGACCAAUGGUCAGGGGUGAUGUCAUCAAAAAACACCUGGAGGGUCUCAGGUUCUCCAACACUGGCCGAAACAUACCUGAAGAGCCAGCCUCUGAUGUGCAGGAAAAAGGAUUUGCAAUGGCAAACAUCUCUCCUUGCUAAGUUGUAUUUUUAUGUGUGUACAGGCACUGCCCAUUCGAAGGCAAAUAGUGCCUGGAACGCGGAUGGCGCUGUGGGUAAAACCUCAGCGCCUAGGACUUGCCGAUCGCAUGGUUGGCAGUUCGAAUCCCCACAGCGGGGUGCGCUCCCGUCGUUCAGUCCCAGCGCCUGCCAACCUAGCAGUUUGAAAGCACCUCCGGGUGCAAGUAGAUAAAUAGGGACCGCGGACCAGCGGGAAGGUAAACGGCGUUCCGUGUGCUGCGCUGGCUCGCCAGAUGCAGCUUGUCACGCUGGCCACGUGACCCGGAAGUGUCUGCGGACAGCGCUGGCUCCCGGCCUAUAGAGUGAGAUGAGCGCACAACCCUAGAGUCUGGCAAGACUGGCCCGUACGGGCAGGGGUACCUUUACCUUUACCUUUAGUGCCUGGAAAUAUAGCAGAUAGAAGCUGGAUGAGAAACAUCAAAUGAAGCUUAUUGAUUUUUUUUCUUCCCCUGUGCCUUGAUGGUGUGCAUCCGAGAGGAAGGAAGCUUCAUUUAAACACUUUGGCACUCCAGUAAUUAAAGGAAUCUUGAGACACUUGACGGAGCAAGCUGUAGAUUAUUCUUUUUGUGUGUUUUCGGGCGACGGUGAGUAGCUUUCCUCAAACUUGGCUGAUUUAGUGUAAUGAAAGAGAAAAAAUAAAAAUGGAAAUGGAACAAAGGGCACCACUCUUGUACAUUCAACAAUGCAGCCGGUUCCUCAUUUGAUGAAUGCAAAUAUUGCUCUGCAUAUAUUUCCCCUCCCCCCCCAAUCCUUGAGAAAAGGGUAGAUCAAUUUUUCUCUCUCCUCUGAUACGAAGGAUAGUUCUCUCAGAGUGCUUCUUGGAGCCCAGACAUUUAGAUUCUGGUAUCUAUCAUGCCUAUUCCUCUUCUCUCUCUUUUUCCAGAAAGGAAAAUAAAUCCACAGAGCAGGAUAUAAGGGAGAAACUGACUUUGUUUAUCUAACGUGCAAUGGGUAUUUAGAAGUGCUAUUGCAUUGAAAUGAUUUCCCCCCUUCCCUUUUUUUGGCUUUCUCUAUUCCUAUAGUGUUAAAAACGGCAGUUCCAUUGUCUCAUUCCUCCUGUCAGGUCUUGCUGGUGUGAUAGGGCAGGCAUCAAAGCAAUGCCUCAGAAUUUGGGGGCUUUUCUCAGUAGAUGGCGUUCUUCCCUCAAAGUCUGCAUUCCAGUCAAUUACCCAGCAUGGGGCUUGGGGAGAUGGAUCUGCAGGAGAUGUUGGCUCCCUGAGGAAAAGUAUAAACAAGGUUUCUGAAUGCUUGUAGCUCUUUUUUGUUUUUUUAAAGCCACAGUGCCUUCUCUCUCACUCAUAGGUUUUCCCCACUUUAUGAUUCUUUUAAUGCAUGGGUAGGCAAACUAAGGCUGGAUCAGGCCCAAUUGCCUUCUAAAUCCGGCCUGCAGACAGUCCGAGAAUCAGUGUGUUUUUACAUGAGUAGAAUGUGUCCCUAAAUAAAAAUGCAUCUCUGGGUUAUUUGUGGGGCCUGCAGUAGAAUGUGCGCUUUUAUUUAAAAUGCAUCUCUGGGUUAUUUGUGGGGCAUAGGAAUUCGUUUUUUCCUUCAAAAUAUAGUCUGGCCCCCCCACAAGGUCUGAGGGACAGUGGACCGGCCCCCUGCUGAAAAAGUUUGUUGACCCCUGUUUUAAUGCUUCCUUUAUUCCCAUAGUUCUUUUAAGGGUGCUGUACAUUGUAGCUAUGUGAGGGGUAUACUAACAGUUCCCAGGAUCCUGUGUGUGUGUGCGCGCACACUCUAAAUGUCUAGCGUGCACACAACCUUCCUUUUGGCAAACAGCAUUUGGAUAUAAUUUUUCUGUUGGGUUUACACUUGGUGAGUGGUCAAGUCAUAUUCAAAGUAGAACCGUUGAAAUUAAUGGACUUAAAUUAGCCACUACAGUGGUACCUCGGGUUACAUAUGCUUCAGGUUACAGACGCUUCAGGUUACAGACUCCGCUAACCCAGAAAUAGUACCUCAGGUUAAUAACUUUGCUUCAGGAUGAGAACAGAAAUCAUGCGGCGGCAGCAGGAGGCCCCAUUAGCUAAAGUGGUACCUCAGGUUAAGAACAGUUUCAGGUUAAGAACGGACCUCCAGAACAAAUUAAGUUCUUAACCUGAGGUACCACUGUACUAACUUGAGUUCAUUGAUUUCAAAGGCUGUAUGCCUUAAUCAGAUAGCACCCUUAAUUUGCAAAAUCCAUUCGUGGUAUAAUAUUUACCCUUUCAACACCCCCUGCAAGGCUGACCAGAGAUAUACAUAGUUAUCUUAAACAUGCUAAAUUGUGUAUCAACUUCCUCCCAUAGCUGUCAAGUGUCCCUUAUUUGAAGGGACAGUCCCUUAUUCCAGCGCCAUGUCCCGCUGCUGUCCCUUAUUGAUGGAUGUCCCUUAAAUGUCCCUUAAAUGAUGUCCCUUAAAUAUCAAAGGAAGCAGCUCCUCUCCCUCCCUCCCUGCUGGCCAGGGAGGAGGGAGGCUCCAACUGUGUUGCUUGGCUGUGUUGCUCACCCAAUAAGAAGUCUAAGAAUGACUGGGGGGUGGAGCUUGAAUGCCUUGUGUGUGGCUAGUUAAUGCAAGCUGAGGGGUUUUUUGAAUGCUGGACGCCAUUUUGUUGCACGUGCUGCUGCAAACUUUGCAGUGCAAAGCCAGGCUGGGGAGCCAUCUUAAGUUGAGGCUGCGUAGGCCUUGUGGUGCAUGUGAUUCAGAUUCUAUUCAGUUGAACCUCUGGUUGCAAAGUUGGUUGGACGGUGUUCUCGAAGCUACCAGCAUGAGUUUGACCAGACUGCAGGAGGACAGGAAGACUGGAGUGCCUGGAACAGGUGAGGCUGCAGGUCCCUUAUUUUGGCUGCUGGUCCCUUAUUUUCAAGGCUGCUGGUCCCUUAUUUUCAAGGCUGCUGGUCCCUUAUUUUCAAAUCUGUAAGUUGACAGCUAUGCUUCCUCCCCACAAGAAUUCAGGUAACUGUACUUUGGUGAGCUGUACUCCUUGGAGAACUACCCUUCCCAAUGUUCUCUGGGAAAUAUAAUAUAAUAAUAAUUUAUUAUUUCUACCCCAACCAUCUAGCUGGGUUUCCCCAGUUACUUUGGGUGGCUCCCAACAGUAUAUUAAAAACACAAUAAAACAUCAAACAUUAAAAACUUCCCUAAACAGGGCUGCCUUCAGAUGUCUUCUAAAAGUCAGAUAGUUGUUUAUUUCCUUGACAUCUGGUGGGAGGGUGUUCCACAGGGCGGGCGCCACCACCGAGAAGGCCCUCUGCUUGGUACCCUGUAACCUCACUUCUCGCAGUUAGGGAACCGCCAGAAGGCCCUCGGAGCUGGACCUCAGUGUCUGGGCUGAACGAUGGGGGUGCAGACGCUCCUUCAGGUAUACUGGGGUGAGGCCAUUUAGGGCUUUCAAGGUCAGCACCAACACUUUGAAUUGCAUUCAGAAACGUAUGUAAGUUACUAUUAAAGGCAGUACCUUUUUUGGUUAAAAAAAACCCCUGAGUAGCUUCUGAUACUCAUGUCUUCACAAAAGUGCUGUGGGUGCCAGCACAAAAUGGCUGCCAUGUACAGCAAAAAGAGGUGACAGUACUGGUGAAUAUAAUCAUACAAAAAAGCACUGAUUAAAGCAGUUUAAGUCUGUAGCAUUGAUAUACGCAGUGCUGUGUUUAAGGGUUCAUGACAAAGGACAAAACUGGACUGAGAUCAUCUAGAGCAGAGCUUUCCAAACUUUUCAAGAUGGUGACACACUUUUUGGACAUGCAUCAUUUCGCGACACAGUAGCUCAAUUUUGCAUCAUUUUGUGACACGGCAAUUCAGUUUUAAUAGCAGAUCGGAGGUUAACCUAACCUUGUCCAGCGACACACUAACAUGUUGUGAUACACAGUUUGGAAAGUUCUGAUCUAGAGGCAUACCCAAUAUUGUGUGCACUAGAUCAUGCUGGUCCAAUUUUUGCACUCAAACCCUUCUCUGGUGUCUGUGUGGAGUUUUAUGUGGGUAUGGAAGAAAAUGUGGAAAAACAGAGCACUGUAAAUGUAGAUGGAGCAUUUCCUUCUCCUUUAACUUGCCUUUGCUUCUGUGCAGAGUUACACUUAAACAAAGGUUAUUUCUAGAUUUUAAGAAUUAUUAUUAUGCCGAUUUAUAGACCACUUCACAGCAGAAAGCCACUGAAUCAGUGUGCAUGAUAAAAGCAGAAUAAAACACAGGUGCGAGUUCUAAAAACAAUAAAACCAUUCAUACAAACUCUAAAAAGAACAAAGCAAUUCCAUCAGAUAUAAAAUUGAUCUUCCACAAAUGACUAGGUUGUGUCUUUAGUAGGCUUCUAAACAUCAUACUAGAUGCAUGUCUGAUUUGGACUAGCAAUUGAUUCUAGAGAGCUGGAGCAACAACACUAAUUUUUAAAAAUAUAUUUAUAUAAUUCAUUUUUAUAUUAAAAUAGUUAUCUUUCUAGUCCCCCCCCCCCCCAGUUCAUUUGUCUCUUUUUAAGGCACUGUGUGUAAAAAAAAAAAAAGCUGUAGCCUUAUUUGGUUGAGCUGAAUUUUUUCCACUUCUCCCUUUUGGGUACAAAAUAUUUAUUGUAACUGAGUAAGACUAUGCAUUGUAUGACUAUACCUCCUUUUUAAAAAAAAGUCCCAUUGUUUCUUCUAGUAGUUACUGUUCAAUACCAUUUAUUCUGUAGCUAUUUCUCUUUUGCCUUCUUUUGGGAUUAGUUGCAAAUUAUUUUACCUAAUAAAUGACCAAAUAGAAUGAAGUCAUAUAGAAUGUAGCCAAUCAGAUCCAGCUUGGUGAUGACAUCACUGAGGGCAAGGUAACAGGGAAGUGAAUAUUUUCUCAAGGAGAAAGAAUUGAAAAAAAGAGACAUUUGCAACAGAAGAAAAUGUUGUUAAAAAUGAUGAAUAAAUCCCAGUUUGCACAGAACAUAUUCACAUAGAUUACAAUUCAUCUAGCCAAUAAACAAUUUUCUCUUUAUUUGGAGAGACCAAUACAGUUACGAUUACGUUGUCUAAUGUGAGCCAUUUUGAAAUACACUAGCACAAUAAAUUAUUGAAUUAUGGUGUUGGAGGAGACCCUUGAGAGUCCCAUGGACUGCAAGAAGAUCAAACCUGUCCAUUCUGAAGGAAAUCAGCCCUGAGUGCUCACUGGAAGGACAGAUCCUGAAGCUGAGGCUCCAGUACUUUGGCCACCUCAUGAGAAGAGAAGACUCCUUGGAAAAGACCCUGAUGUUGGGAAAGAUGGAGGGCACAAGGAGAAGGGGACGACAGAGGAUGAGAUGGUUGGACUGUGUUCUCAAAGCUACCAAUAUGCGUUUGACCAAACUGAGGGAAGCAGUGGAAGACAGGAGUGCCUGGCAUGCUCUGGUCCAUGGGGUCACGAAGAGUCAGACACAACUAAACGACUAAACAACAACAACAAAAGCACAAUAAAAUCUUCUCAGCUAAUAUACAGCCCGGUUAAAUUUUGCAAGGCACAGUGGACAUCGUCCACUCCACACCCUCAAGUAAACACUCUACCCAUUUGAUUGGGAUUUCUCCCCCUCCUCUCCCCUCAUAUUCCAAAGUAAUUCAUGUUAAGUUGUGGGUGAACAUAUCAGACGAUAUAGCGAUUCUUCAAACAGCUCUUGUUUAUUCACAGGCCAGGACAGAACUGAACUGAAGGGUUCAGUCAGCCUGCUUAUAUAGAGCUCCAAUACAACGUAAUUGUAACAAUUUUCUAAAACUAUCCAAUCACUGAACGUCACUUUCGAUCCCUUAUUUGCAAAACUAUCUACAGUAUCCCCCUGCUGGCCCAGGGUGAAAACUUCAGUACAUAACAGUUCUGUAAUCUUAUCAUUUCCGUUCCUUUCUGCAUCCUUCCAAAACUUUGUCACAUUGCAGAGCCAACACUGGGAAGAUCAACUCAAAUAGCCAAGCAGUGUGGGAGAAAAACUGUGCAGGCGCUUCAGAUAUUAUGUAGAAGCAGGAGACUGAAGAAAAGUGCAAAUGACUCAGGUGUCCUCUUUUUGUACUUAAAAAAAAAUCAUUUGUUCUUGCAAAUCACCAGUGGUUUUUGAGUCAUUAAAUGGACUAAUUAAUUUGGGCAUUCCGUGAUAGGUUGACUGCAUUGCAGAAUGCAUUUUGUCAUAGAAGACUUGUAACGGAUAAAUGGUGCUUGGGUUUGGGGGACCUUUCCAUAAUAUCCAGCAAUGAUCUUACGUAAAUAAAAGCCGAACUGCAUUUUUUGAAGUCUUGUGUGCCCCCUGAAUUUGGCAUUCAAAAUCAGAUGAGCAAAUGCACAACAACAGAAAGUUCUGAAGAUGGAAAGAGAAACUCUGCUUACAUAAUUAUCUGAUACCUUCGAUUCAGUUGGGACAGACUGGAUGCAGGUUUGAGGAGACCCUUCUGUGCUGCUAAGACCUGACACAUUUACUUGCUGAUGUCAGGCAGUCAUCUAAAAUUUCCCCAGUGUUCCCAAGGGAGCAUUGCUAUGGGAAACAAAACUGGUGGCUCCCAAAAUCAGCUAUCCAAUGCUGAUUUCGAGCACUGGGAUUUUUAAAGGGGGGGCAGUGGCGGAGGAACCCUCUCUGGCACUUGGGGCGGGACGCUGAGGGGUGGGGCAAACUGCCCGGUGGUACACGCACGUCGUCUGUAUGGACUGCGAACAUGCAGCAUCCUGUACAGACUGCGCAUGUGCGGCAUCCUAUACAGACUGCGCAUGCACGGCAUCCCUUACGAAUGCCUGUAUGGACUGCACGCGAGAGUGGCAGCCUGUACAGAUGCCACAUGAGUGGCGCCCGUACUGACUGUGCAUGCCCUUGGCCGCUCUACAGCUUGGGGGAGGCAGGGGCCAUCUUGUCCUCCCCUCAGAGUGGCACCCGGGGUGGCCUGCCCCAUCUGCCCCCCCACUUUGUAUGCCCCUGGAGGGGGGGCAGGAGGACAAGCAUCAAGGAUAGGUCCCAGGCUAGUGCCUGAGAUUCCCCCAUGCUGGCAGUGAGCUGAAUUUUGCACACAAUUUGCCCUCGUGCUAAGUUCGGGCACAGCACUUCUCACUUGUAAUCUGGUUAGGUUUACUCCUCCCAUCAGGAAUUGAAAUCCAGAGGAUUCUCCUUUCCUUUAGAGUGGAUGUGAGUAUGUGAAACCAGUUCAAGAAAUUGACCAUUCCUGCAUUUGGAGGCAGAAAUCUUAUUUCACUGAAGCUGGUCCACAAAGUGGCUUCUGGAAUCCAAACUAUGACAUUUGUCUUAGCAGUGGGAGCCUGCAAUGGCUUGAACACGGACUUUUCCCAGGAGCAAUGAAGGUGCAUGCUUUGAAGAACUUUUCAAAAUUGCUCUGAGCCCGGCUUCGGCUGGGGUAGGCGGGGUAUAAAUAAAUUUUUAUUAAUUAAUUAAUUUAUUAUUAUUAUUAUUAUUAUUAUUAUUAUUAUUAUUAUUAUUCUACCCCGGUGCAUUUUUGGUAACAUAUGUUGGAAAAAGUGCAGAAUACUUGCAUUCUGCUUCACGGAUUGGUUUUUAUAUAUACUGGAUUAUUCAAAUGCUACUCCUAGUUUCCCAAAAGCUUUGCUGGGUAGUUGCAAUAGCUGAGAUCAGGGUUUACUCAGUCAUUGGAAUGAGUGCAGGCAGGCUUUCUGUUUAAGAUUUUCGCUGUCCCACGCUGCGUACCUUACGCAGCCCUGUGUUUAGAGGGAGGCCAACAUAAGCUAGAGACAGUUGCCUGGAUGAGUUUUCUUUUAUGCUGGCUAAACAUUUGUUUUUCAGCAGACAAAGAUACUUUCUUAGCGAAGUUCUGUCAGACUCCUUCCCUGCUGGGUGCUGUGGCUUUCCCAAUUGUCAAGGCCAUGUUAAAAACUAGGCUGUGGGACAUAGAUUGCCAGGAACUAAUCUCAGCUGUGGAAAAAACAUGUUCCCCUCUUUAUUUUCGACUCUUGGGUGCAGGAAUUUAACCUUAAUUAUUUACAAUUUCUGUUUAACCCGCAAGAAAGAAGGGCUUUUUCGCUGGCUAGGUUCAAUUCUAAUCCUUCUAACCUCCUUUGGGGUAGGUUCACUGGUAUGGCAGAAGGGAACAGGAUCUGCCCAUGCGAUGCCCACCUGGUGGAAACUCUAGCUCACAUGGCCCUUACAUGUAAAACGUAUGAUGAUCUCCGCCAACAAUUUCUAGACCAUCUAUGUACAGUGGUACCUCGGGUUACAUAUGCUUCAGGUUACAUACGCUUCAGUUUACAGACUCCGCUAACCCAGAAAUAGUACCUCGGGUUAAGAACUUUGCUUCAGGAUGAGAACAUAAAUAGUGCUCCGGCAGCGCAGCAGCAGGAAGCCCCAUCGGCUAAAGUGGUGCUUCAGGUUAAGAACAGUUUCAGGUUAAGUACGGACCUCCGGAACGAAUUAAGUACUUAACCCGAGGUACCACUGUAUCCCAACAUGGAAACCAGAAAUGGAGGUUAUGCGCUUCUUAUUACAGGGGAGAGACCAGGAGCUCACCAAGACAGUAGCUAAGUUCCUUUAUUUGAUUUUUUGCCGCCAGAGUACGCUACAGGAUCCUGCCCUUGCUGGAGUCCCACAGAGAUGAAAUAGAUUGCUCGCCUCUUCUUCCCUUUGGCAAAUGACUGUACUGUUGAAAUGGCAAUGAGAUCUCACUGGCCUAUUUAUUCUGAAUGUUUGUAUGUGAUGCCAAUAAAGGUUUGAUGAUGAUGAUGAUG